CCGAGUUGUAAUUUGUAGAGGAUGCUUUUGAUGCGGUGCCUUCCGAGUUCCCUGGAACGGGACGCCAUAGAGGGUGAGAGCCCCGUCUGGUCGGAUGCCAAAUCUCUGUAAAGCUCCUUCGACGAGUCGAGUAGUUUGGGAAUGCUGCUCAAAAUGGGAGGUAUAUGUCUUCUAAAGCUAAAUAUUGGCCAGAGACCGAUAGCGCACAAGUAGAGUGAUCGAAAGAUGAAAAGCACUUUGAAAAGAGGGUUAAACAGUACGUGAAAUUGUUGAAAGGGAAGCGCCUAUGACCAGACUUGGGCCCGGUGAAUCAUCCAGCGUUCUCGCUGGUGCACUUUGCCGGGCACAGGCCAGCAUCAGUUUGUCUUGGGGGAAAAAGGCUUUGGGAACGUGGCUCCCUCGGGAGUGUUAUAGACCAUUGCAUAAUACCCUGGGACGGACUGAGGUUCGCGCAUCUGCAAGGAUGCUGGCGUAAUGGUCAUCAGCGACCCGUCUUGAAACACGGACCAAGGAGUCGUCUUCGUAUGCGAGUGUUCGGGUGUAAAACCCCUACGCGUAAUGAAAGUGAACGCAGGUGAGAGCUUCGGCGCAUCAUCGACCGAUCCUGAUGUUCUCGGAUGGAUUUGAGUAAGAGCAUACGGGGCCGGACCCGAAAGAAGGUGAACUAUUCCUGUAUAGGGUGAAGCCAGAGGAAACUCUGGUGGAGGCUCGCAGCGGUUCUGACGUGCGAAUCGAUCGUCAAAUAUGGGAAUGGGGGCGAAAGACUAAUCGAACCUUCUAGUAGCUGGUUUCCGCCGAAGUUUCCCUCAGGAUAGCAGUGUUGAACUCAGUUUUAUGAGGUAAAGCGAAUGAUUAGGGACUCGGGGGCGCUAUUUAGCCUUCAUCCAUUCUCAAACUUUAAAUAUGUAAGAAGCUCUUGUUGCUUAA
rnacentral:rRNA from 1 species